CAUUCAAAGCUUAACAGAAUGAGGAUUACAAUGCAGCUCAGUGUCCUCCUGUGCCUCCUACUGACCCUGGCGACAGCUUACAAACUUGAUAAAGCCACAAAGCAACGAAAAGAAAUUUGCACGCUAGAUGCCCAAUAUGGUAAUUGUAAAGGGCACCAGUGGAAAUGGUAUUACGACUUCGUACGCGACCGUUGCAGACAGUUUGACUUUAGCGGCUGUGGCGGCAAUCAAAAUCUCUUUCACAGUCAAAGCAGCUGUAUUGAUUACUGCUUGAACCCAAGUAGCAAAUACAAUAUGCAAGAUUUUGAAAAUGAUUAUGGAAGUAAAUAAAACAAACUAAAGACAACUUUCAAAAUAAAAAUGUAUAUAGAA